rnacentral:rRNA from 1 species
GAUGAACGCUGGCGGCGUGCCUAAUACAUGCAAGUCGAGCGAACGGACGAGAAGCUUGCUUCUCUGAUGUUAGCGGCGGACGGGUGAGUAACACGUGGAUAACCUACCUAUAAGACUGGGAUAACUUCGGGAAACCGGAGCUAAUACCGGAUCAUAUUUUGAACCGCAUGGUUCAAAAGUGAAAGACGGUCUUGCUGUCACUUAUAGAUGGAUCCGCGCUGCAUUAGCUAGUUGGUAAGGUAACGGCUUACCAAGGCAACGAUGCAUAGCCGACCUGAGAGGGUGAUCGGCCACACUGGAACUGAGACACGGUCCAGACUCCUACGGGAGGCAGCAGUAGGGAAUCUUCCGCAAUGGGCGAAAGCCUGACGGAGCAACGCCGCGUGAGUGAUGAAGGUCUUCGGAUCGUAAAACUCUGUUAUUAGGGAAGAACAUAUGUGUAAGUAACUGUGCACAUCUUGACGGUACCUAAUCAGAAGGCCACGGCUAACUACGUG